AGACGUAGGGGGCGAGCGUUGUCCGGAAUUACUGGGCGUAAAGAGCACGUAGGCGGAUGAAUAAGUCAGGUGUGAAAGACCGCAGCUUAACUGCGGGGUUGCACUUGAAACUGUACAUCUUGAGGGCAGGAGGGGGCAGUGGAAUUCCUGGUGUAGCGGUGAAAUGCGUAGAAAUCAGGAGGAACACCAGUGGCGAAGGCGACUGCCUGGACUGACCCUGACGCUGAGGUGCGAAAGCGUGGGUAGCAAACAGGAUUAGAUACCCUGGUAGUCCACGCUGUAAACGAUGGAUACUAGGUGUGGGAUGUAUCGACCCCUUCCGUGCCGGAGCUAACGCAAUAAGUAUCCCGCCUGGGGAGUACGGUCGCAAGGCUGAA
rnacentral:rRNA from 1 species